GUUGACCUCGGAUCAGGUAGGGAUACCCGCUGAACUUAAGCAUAUCAAUAAGCGGAGGAAGG
rnacentral:rRNA from 2 species